AGCCAGCAGCCGCGGUAAUACGUAGGGGGCAAGCGUUGUCCGGAAUCACUGGGCGUAAAGCGCGCGCAGGCGGUCUUUCACGUCCGGGGUGAAAGCCCAGAGCUCAACUCUGGGAUUGCCUUGGAUACGGAGAGACUUGAGGGUCGGAGAGGCAAGGGGAAUUCCACGUGUAGCGGUGAAAUGCGUAGAGAUGUGGAGGAACACCUGUGGCGAAGGCGCCUUGCUGGCCGACUUCUGACGCUGAGGCGCGAAAGCGUGGGGAGCAAACAGGAUUAGAUACCCUGGUAGUCCACGCCGUAAACGAUGAGUGCUAGGUGUUAGGGGGCCCACCCCUUAGUGCCGAAGCUAACGCAUUAAGCACUCCGCCUGGGGAGUACGGUCGCAAGACUGAAACUCAAAGGAAUUGACGGGGGCCCGCACA
rnacentral:rRNA from 1 species